ensembl:lncRNA
AAAGACAGGAGUGUAUGUAGUUUACUGAAAGAACAUUUGAAUGACAUUCAGUCCAGAUGGAGAGAACAGUAAUGUUAUGAGAAAAGCCUCUACAUGUUGCUGUUGCUGUACAGUCAGUAAGAGAGACAUAGAAAGACCAGGGACACACUGGGAAAAGAAAAGCUACUUCAUUCAACCAUUUUGUUUUGACAUUAGUUACCAGGUGGUUGUUACAAGUAUUAUGGUAUUUACAUAGUGCAAAGGACACACUGGUUGUCAUGGCUCCAAAACACACUGAUGAGAGUUAGUUACUGAGAAACCUGCACACAGCCAGUGUACAUUUUAGUACUAGACACACCGUCGUGAUCACUUGUAUCAGGGAAGGGCUCAAUUCAACUCAUUCAGAAAAUCCUCAUAGAAAACAGUCAGUUUUCAAUUGACAUGCGUUUUUUUUCUCAAUUACAUUUUUCAUCAGUUGAAUUUCAAUUCACUUCCUGAAUUGAAAAUGAAUUGACCCAACUCCUGACUGUGUCUAUUUAUUACACAACUCCCUCUCACCCCUCCUUCCUUCAUAUUGCAUAUGACCCAGCAUGCCACUCCUAUACAUGGCAUCCUCCUCCAUCUAAUAAUACAUGACUUGAUUUCUAUCAUUUCCCAUCAAAUUACAUCAACUUAUUCAGAUGUUUUAUAUCAAAUGGCUUUAAGAAAAAGGUGAUUGGGGUGUUUAAUACACUGUAGUUCAAACAUUUUAAUUGUUCACAUUUUAUUUACAUGGUUAUAACUGGUGAGGUGGAUAAUUACUUCAUGAAUAUUCAGAGGCUCCUGUGGUGGCUCCUCCCUUUGACCCCUCCUCCCUUUGACCAGUGAGUCCACAUGUCCUGGGUCAAGUUGGACUACCUGUCAGCUUCAAACCCAAACAGUCUCUGAUAAUAGCUAGUUACAGUACAUUUACCUGCCCACCCCAACAAACACGCCCACACUGCCACCGGUCAGUGGACUGGGACCUAAACCAAAUGGAACCAGAGGCUAUAGUAAAACACAGAAGUCAGCUAGCAACAACAAACAAUCCACUCAGAAAACAACCCCAAACAGAUGAACACUUGUCAAUAUAAUCAUCAAUAUUACAGGUUAUGUACAUCAGACAUUUGUUCUGGCUUCAGUUACUGUUAGUAUAUGUCAUGUGACAUGUCAUAUCAUUCAUGUUUUCAAGGGACACGCCAUUCUUUUUUAACACGCCAUUUUCACAUUAGUAGACAUUGGUUUGGUCCUGGAGAUAAUGACUAUGAGGUUAAAAAGUGGUGAUAUGCCCCUUUAAAAUCACACCCAGUGAAAAUAAUACAUGAUUACUGUGAUGGUUAAUGUCAGAAACACAUCGUGUAGGUUUGCAAAUUACAGCAACUUUCCCAAAAUUCCAAGGUUGGAGGAUUAUGUAUUUUCUGCUUAUUCCCAACAGAUUCUGUGGACCUUCCAACCGGGAUUCCUGGAAAAGUGGGGAAUUUUGUAAUCCUAACAAGGUUUUCGAUUGGUUUUGGGAGACAGAGAAACAUGGGAAGGAUGACAACAAUGUAACAUAAGUCUUGAUGAUGGGACAGAGACACACACACGUCUAGCUGUAAACUCUCAGCCCUGCAGGGGCUCAGCAACCUUCUGCUUGGACUGAACCACCAGACCUCCACUAUGAAUAACCCAGGGAUGACAGAGGAGACUUCUCUUCUAGUUAGUCUGUAGUCAGCAGUCACAGGUCUAUCAUCUGGAGGGCUCUGUGUCAUACAGACAGAGGGAGACUUCUCUUCUAGUUAGUCUGUAGUCAGCAGUCACAGGUCUAUCAUCUGGAGGGCUCUGUGUCAUACAGACAGAGGGAGACUUCUCUUCUAG